rnacentral:lncRNA from 1 species
AUGCUCUCUCCCUCCAUCCCUGGCUCUCCAGUUUGUAUACAGCGCGCGGAAGCCGGGGCAGGCGGCGGCGGCGGCGGCGCCGAUCGUCGUGUUCCUGGGCAUAUUCGGGAUCUCCUUCGCGGCGUUCCCGCUCAGCAAGAGCCUGCCCGUUGCGGCGGCGCAGGCCCUCGCCUGCGCCGCCGCGGGGGCCGCCGCCGUGAGCCGGGUCAUACACAAGCAGCUGGGUCAUCUCCUCUCGUCGGAGUCAACGAAGCAGCAGGAGAGCAAGGCGGCGGAGGAGGAGGAGCAGCAGCAGCAGAAGAACGUGG